GAUGAACGCUGGCGGCGUGCUUAACACAUGCAAGUCGAACGGUGAAGCCAAGCUUGCUUGGUGGAUCAGUGGCGAACGGGUGAGUAACACGUGAGCAACCUGCCCCGGACUCUGGGAUAAGCGCUGGAAACGGCGUCUAAUACCGGAUAUGAACCACAGCCGCAUGGUUGGUGGUUGGAAAGAUUUUUUGGUUCGGGAUGGGCUCGCGGCCUAUUAGCUUGUUGGUGAGGUAAUGGCUCACCAAGGCGUCGACGGGUAGCCGGCCUGAGAGGGUGACCGGCCACACUGGGACUGAGACACGGCCCAGACUCCUACGGGAGGCAGCAGUGGGGAAUAUUGCACAAUGGGCGGAAGCCUGAUGCAGCAACGCCGCGUGAGGGAUGACGGCCUUCGGGUUGUAAACCUCUUUUAGCAAGGAAGAAGCGAAAGUGACGGUACUUGCAGAAAAAGCGCCGGCUAACUACGUGCCAGCAGCCGCAGUAA
rnacentral:rRNA from 1 species